rnacentral:rRNA from 1 species
UGGGGAAUAUUGGACAAUGGGCGAAAGCCUGAUCCAGCCAUGCCGCGUGUGUGAAGAAGGUCUUCGGAUUGUAAAGCACUUUACGUUGGGAGGAAGGGCAUUAACCUAAUACGUUAGUGUUUUGACGUUACCGACAGAAUAAGCACCGGCUAACUCUGUGCCAGCAGCCGCGGUAAUACAGAGGGUGCAAGCGUUAAUCGGAAUUACUGGGCGUAAAGCGCGCGUAGGUGGUUUGUUAAGUUGGAUGUGAAAGCCCCGGGCUCAACCUGGGAACUGCAUCCAAAACUGGCAAGCUAGAGUACGGUAGAGGGUGGUGGAAUUUCCUGUGUAGCGGUGAAAUGCGUAGAUAUAGGAAGGAACACCAGUGGCGAAGGCGACCACCUGGACUGAUACUGACACUGAGGUGCGAAAGCGUGGGGAGCAAACA